AUUGUUAGGUACGUUCUUUUUUUCAUAAUUAUCUAUAAUUUGCACUAGAACAAAAUUAUCGUUGAAAUUAAAUUCUUAUUGGUUGUACGUUGUAAUAUAGAAAUAUAAACGAUUUGAUUGGAACAAUUUUUUUGAAGGAAAUAGUCUAAUAAAUACACUUUGCGUAAAGUUUUCAAAUGUUAAAAUGUUACACAGAAAUUACACUUCGAUUAGCGUGUAAUAAACGCGUAAAAUCGCUAACCGGUAACCAAAAUCCACAAAGCAGAUACGGAAAAACCUAGCCUCAACAGAAAGUGAUGACUUGUGUGUAUUCCACCAGUGUCUCUUCUUUAUGUUCAUAAUACCUUUAGUAAUUUUAUAAUUGUCAACGUAUUUUUAAUAAAAUAAGCGCAGUUUUUACAUUUCCUGACUAAAACCACCAACUGGCUUUCGCGCAGUAAUGGUAACAGGCGACGUUAUAUUUGUAAUAGUAUUUAUUACUUUAAUAAUAUAUGCACUGCUUACUACAAUAAUUUCAAUCUGUAUCAUAGUACGUUUGGUAAAGACAAAUAGAAGAUACAAAAGACUGAAAAAUGAAAUUGACAAGGACCAAAAGAAUAUUCUUAAGAUGAUAUCUGACAUGGCAGCUACUAGAGAAAAAAACACUGAAUAUACCGAAAACAAAACUUUAAUAACACUUACAGAUGAAAUUCAAAAUAGAGAAGGUAACAUAUACGAAUACGCAUAUGGUGAAUCCUCUAGCUACGAAGAAAUAAGUGAAAAGUCUAGUUUAUUCUCGAACUUAAAAGACUACGUUUAUGGCUACGUACCAUUUGUAAAUAAAAAACCUUCCAGUACCGAUAAUAAUCAGAAAAACCUAAAUACCGUAUCAAGAAAGUCAUUGGGAUCCAGAGAUCACCUGAAAUUUUUUAGAAUAUUUAGCAGGACUGAUCCAGAAAAUGACAGGGAGCAAAGCUACUUAGAACCCAAAAAGUAUUACCCAGAAGAAAAUUGUCCGGUGGAACUAAAGUCUUUAGGUGAAACUCAGCGUGAUCAUAAGUGAAAAACUAUGUUGUAAAAAAUAAGUUAGAAUUAUAAUUUUACAGUUGUUAUGUUAACAUGUCUAAGUGACGUGUAGGUCAAACAUUUCAAUUAAUUUAAUGAAUAAUUAACACUCUUAAUUUGAAAAAAAAUGUCUAGAGUAUAGCGCCCCACACGGACGAAUCCGUACACGAUACUUUCAUUUUAAACUUUGUGACUAAACUUCCCAGUUUAAUCAAAUAUUUGGAACAUCUGUGUACAUAAUGAAUUAUAUUUUAAUAAUCUCCGUUGGAUAACUUAAAAAUACUAUGUAAUAUAAAAACAAAUGUAUGUUAUACUUUCAUUAAAUUAU